GGCCUGGUGGUGUAAUGGUAACACAUCCUCUCUGAAUUAGCAGUUGUUGGUAUCCUUUCUGGAGAAGUCCCCUGUUCGAAUCAGGGUCAGGCCA